rnacentral:rRNA from 1 species
UACGGGGGGGGCAAGCGUUGUUCGGAAUUACUGGGCGUAAAGGGCUCGUAGGCGGCCAACUAAGUCAGACGUGAAAUCCCUCGGCUUAACCGGGGAACUGCGUCUGAUACUGGAUGGCUUGAGGUUGGGAGAGGGAUGCGGAAUUCCAGGUGUAGCGGUGAAAUGCGUAGAUAUCUGGAGGAACACCGGUGGCGAAGGCGGCAUCCUGGGCCAAUUCUGACGCUGAGGAGCGAAAGCCAGGGGAGCAAACGGG